UACGGAAGGCAGCAGUGGGGAAUAUUGCACAAUGGGCGCAAGCCUGAUGCAGCCAUGCCGCGUGUAUGAAGAAGGCCUUCGGGUUGUAAAGUACUUUCAGUCGUGAGGAAGGUGUUAAGGUUAAUAACCUUAGCAAUUGACGUUAGCGACAGAAGAAGCACCGGCUAACUCCGUGCCAGCAGCCGCGGUAAUACGGAGGGUGCGAGCGUUAAUCGGAAUUACUGGGCGUAAAGGGCACGCAGGCGGUUAAUUAAGUUGGAUGUGAAAUCCCCGGGCUUAACCUGGGAAUGGCAUUCAAGACUGGUUAGCUAGAGUCUUGUAGAGGGGGUAGAAUUCCAUGUGUAGCGGUGAAAUGCGUAGAGAUGUGGAGGAAUACCGGGUGGCGAAGGCGGCCCCUGGGACAAAGGACUGACGCUCAUGUGCGAAAGCGUGGGGAGCAAACAGGGAUUAGAUACC
rnacentral:rRNA from 1 species